UUGAACGCUGGCGGCAGGCCUAACACAUGCAAGUCGAACGGUAACAGGAAGCAGCUUGCUGCUUCGCUGACGAGUGGCGGACGGGUGAGUAAUGUCUGGGAAACUGCCUGAUGGAGGGGGAUAACUACUGGAAACGGUAGCUAAUACCGCAUAACGUCGCAAGACCAAAGAGGGGGACCUUCGGGCCUCUUGCCAUCGGAUGUGCCCAGAUGGGAUUAGCUAGUAGGUGGGGUAACGGCUCACCUAGGCGACGAUCCCUAGCUGGUCUGAGAGGAUGACCAGCCACACUGGAACUGAGACACGGUCCAGACUCCUACGGGAGGCAGCAGUGGGGAAUAUUGCACAAUGGGCGCAAGCCUGAUGCAGCCAUGCCGCGUGUAUGAAGAAGGCCUUCGGGUUGUAAAGUACUUUCAGCGGGGAGGAAGGGAGUAAAGUUAGUACCUUUACUCAUUGACGUUACCCGCAGAAGAAGCACCGGCUAACUCCGUGCCAGCAGCCUCGGUAAUACGGAGGGUGCAAGCGUUAAUCGGAAUUACUGGGCGUAAAGCGCACGCAGGCGGUUUGUUAAGUCAGAUGUGAAAUCCCCGGGCUCAACCUGGGAACUGCAUCUGAUACUGGCAAGCUUGAGUCUCGUAGAGGGGGGUAGAAUUCCAGGUGUAGCGGUGAAAUGCGUAGAGAUCUGGAGGAAUACCGGUGGCGAAGGCGGCCCCCUGGACGAAGACUGACGCUCAGGUGCGAAAGCGUGGGGAGCAAACAGGAUUAGAUACCCUGGUAGUCCACGCCGUAAACGAUGUCGACUUGGAGGUUGUGCCCUUGAGGCGUGGCUUCCGGAGCUAACGCGUUAAGUCGACCGCCUGGGGAGUACGGCCGCAAGGUUAAAACUCAAAUGAAUUGACGGGGGCCCGCACAAGCGGUGGAGCAUGUGGUUUAAUUCGAUGCAACGCGAAGAACCUUACCUGGUCUUGACAUCCACGGAAGUUUUCAGAGAUGAGAAUGUGCCUUCGGGAACCGUGAGACAGGUGCUGCAUGGCUGUCGUCAGCUCGUGUUGUGAAAUGUUGGGUUAAGUCCCGCAACGAGCGCAACCCUUAUCCUUUGUUGCCAGCGGUCCGGCCGGGAACUCAAAGGAGACUGCCAGUGAUAAACUGGAGGAAGGUGGGGAUGACGUCAAGUCAUCAUGGCCCUUACGACCAGGGCUACACACGUGCUACAAUGGCGCAUACAAAGAGAAGCGACCUCGCGAGAGCAAGCGGACCUCAUAAAGUGCGUCGUAGUCCGGAUUGGAGUCUGCAACUCGACUCCAUGAAGUCGGAAUCGCUAGUAAUCGUGGAUCAGAAUGCCACGGUGAAUACGUUCCCGGGCCUUGUACACACCGCCCGUCACACCAUGAGAGUUGGGGAUACCCGAAGCCUGUGAGCCAACAUAUCUAUGAGGCAGCAGUCGAAGGUAGAAUCAAUGAUUGGGGUG
rnacentral:rRNA from 1 species